rnacentral:rRNA from 1 species
CCUACGGGAGGCAGCAGUGAGGAAUAUUGGUCAAUGGACGAGAGUCUGAACCAGCCAAGUAGCGUGAAGGAUGACUGCCCUAUGGGUUGUAAACUUCUUUUAUAUGGGAAUAAAACGUUCCACGUGUGGGAUUUUGUAUGUACCAUAUGAAUAAGGAUCGGCUAACUCCGUGCCAGCAGCCGCGGUAAUACGGAGGAUCCGAGCGUUAUCCGGAUUUAUUGGGUUUAAAGGGAGCGUAGGUGGAUUGUUAAGUCAGUUGUGAAAGUUUGCGGCUCAACCGUAAAAUUGCAGUUGAAACUGGCAGUCUUGAGUACAGUAGAGGUGGGCGGAAUUCGUGGUGUAGCGGUGAAAUGCUUAGAUAUCACGAACAACUCCGAUUGCGAAGGCAGUUCACUGGACUGCAACUGACACUGAGGCUCGAAAGUGUGGGUAUCAAACAGGAUUAGAUACCCCUGUAGUC